CUACAAAAUAGUCAUUUAGGGGCAAUUAAUUAGCGGCAAUAAACUAAUGGCUGCAAAAUAAUUUAAUAAACGCAACUAUUAGCGGCAUAUGAGCAUUAGCCGGAAUUAUCUACUUUUUUACUGGCAACAGAAAGCAAUGGCCACUAUGAGCCACAAAUUGGAAGCGCCUUAUAUUAUUUCAUCUUUUCCCUCUAGAUUUUCCACUAAAAUAACCUGUUCCCUCCCAUUCCUUUUAUCUAAUUUUAGAGAAAUUUGAAAGAUGCUAUUUCAGAAAUACUCAACCCACACAUCGGCGCUGCCCUAUCGCUACUGCUCCACUUCGUCUCUAUCUCACCAUCACCGCGAGUAUCCCCAGAGUCGUUGUUGUUAGACAUCCUUACAUUGGAUUUGCUGGAAUGGAAGAAAUAAAUGAGGCUAAUUCUCGAGGGCCGGCCAACUUUACAAUAGCUGAGGGUUGCUAUUCACGAAGCAGUGGAGCAACAAACUAUUUUCAUUGCUAAGGCAGGAAUAACAACAGUCCUUGAUUCAAGAACCUCGGUACUUGCUGCAGCUAAAUCUCCGUCUGGAAGCUAUGAUGAUCUCAAGGUCUAUAUAAUUCCUUUCAAUUGUUUUGAUGUUAUUUUUUAGUUCAAGAACCUCCAUGCUCGCAGCAGCUAACCUUCUCUUUGGAAGCUAUGAUGAUCUCAAGGUCUAUAUAAUUCCUUUCAAUUGUUUUGAUGUUUUACAAAUUUCUGCUACUUGUUCUGGCAAUAUAGCAGGCGCUGAUGUACUUACUAUUUGCAUUGCUGACCAGCACAAGAUAACAUUAACUUGUAGACAACAAUUCUUUCAGGAUUUGAUUUGGCAGUAUGUGGUUUCCUACUUAUUUAUAAAAGCUUGAGGAAUGAAUAACUUCUAUCGACUUAACGCUGUACUGUUCCAAUUUUGAAGAUUGAGUUUAAUUUUUUUAUAAAUGCACUGUCAGUUUAAUGUCUUCGGCUCUACCUUUUGGCGUGUUAUUUCUGGUGUUCCUUUUUAUGUUUGUACUUAUAUCUAUAUCAUCUCUAUUUUAAGGCAUUCCUUUCGCUAAUUAUGUUUUGGAAGGUGGUUGUGAAUCUUGUGAUCAUAGUACAAGACCUGAUCAUUUUAUCUAAACAUUGGAUCCUUUGUCUUCCCCACUUGUGGGAUUACACUAGGUAUAUUGUUGUUGUUGUAUUGUAUCCUUUGUCAAAUACUUAAGACGUGCAGAAAGUUUAAGGAUCUUUUUAUCUAAUCAUUGUGUUUUAUCUCUGAUGCUUAAGAUAAAAGAUUAUGGACUCAUCAACUUCAUGACUUUAAAUAUCCAGGCAUGAUGUGAUUAAGAGUGUAAACUUUAUGGCUUUUAGAUAUCUUCUGUACCUUUUUCAACAUUUAAGGCAUUAUUUUUUAGCUUAUUUAUGAGACAUUCUUAGCUUCUUUAAUUCCUAACUUUCUUUGUAUGGCUAGAGCAAAAGAAUCAGUGUAUAGGCCUCCUUUAGUAUUUUAUUUCUCAGUUAUAGAUGUAGUUAAUUGUUUAAAUUUGUCUACCACUUUAUACUUAUGAUAAUCCUGCCUAGAGUAAAUUAAGCUGCUUUUUCUAUUAUCAGUAUUAUAAUUUAGUAGCUUAAUCACUGGGAAAAUUAAGAAGUGUAAUAGUUUAAGAAAGGUUUAUGUCAACAGGUUCUCGAUAUUGCUACUUAUAUAAUCAGCUGGCGUGAGCUUUAGAGUUCUAAUUUUAACUUGGCCUUUUUGUCUCUUACUGUCUAUUUAACUUAUAUCAACUAACUAUAGCGAAAUCUUUCUUUUCUUAACUUUAUAUUUGCAAUAUGGACACGGUGCUUUUUUGAACCAAAAGUACCCAUGGUAAUAAGUAGACAUGCCAAGAAAUGUUUAUCUUUUCACCACUGGAAAGAUGCAUUUAGCAUGUUAGACUUCGUGCCAAAUUAUUGAGAAAGACCUUCAUCUUUUUUCCACUUAGAAAAAUUAUUUAUGUACUUUGAACUUAUCCCAAUUAGGGCACUUAUCUAAGAUAAUAUAGUUGAUUGUUUCGUGCUACAUUUUUACUUUGUGCUGAUUCUCACAACGGUUACUUUUUCCAGUUUAUUGCAAUUUUUUGUGUGGCAAUUGUUUCAUUUAUUUAGUGGUUGAUCAGAUUGAUAGCAAAGAACAACCUUUAUGACAUUGUCAAUUGCUUAAUUUUCAAGUUUACUGCUGGAAUACAAUGAUAGCAAAGAACAACCAUGGAAAAGUAGACAACAAAUGCACCUAUCACCGUAGUUGCUACUGUUUUUUUUUUCCUUUUAUAUUAUCUCUUCUUCUCCGCGAUUUAUGGAAUCUGGCUGCGUUUUGUUUUUUAGUUUUUUAUGUGGCUGCAUUUUGUUUCAGUUUUCUCUUUCUGCAGUUUGUAAAUGGUUCUUUUUACUGUUGAAUUUUUCCUUCUUCAGUUGUUGCCAUUGAGUUUUUCAUAUUGUUGUUUAAUCGGUUAAUUUUGAAGUGUCUCAGCCUUUGGUAUCUGUUGUAGAUUUCUGGAAAUCCAAUAUCUGGAGUUGUCUAGAGUCUCAACCUCAAUGUUUUAAGAAUUCACAAUAUAUUUAGAUAUGUAGACUUGCGAUGUUUUUUCACAUUUUAUUUCAUCUUUUGACAAAAUUA